rnacentral:rRNA from 1 species
ACGGAAGGCAGCAGUGAGGAAUAUUGGUCAAUGGGCGAGAGCCUGAACCAGCCAAGUAGCGCGAGGGAUGACUGCCCUAUGGGUUGUAAACCUCUUUUAUUCGGGAAUAAAAUGCGCCACGUGUGGUGCUUUGCAUGUACCGAAGGAAUAAGCAUCGGCUAAUUCCGUGCCAGCAGCCGCGGUAAUACGGAAGAUGCGAGCGUUAUCCGGAUUUAUUGGGUUUAAAGGGAGCGUAGGCGGAGGAUUAAGUCAGCCGUGAAAUCCCGUCGCUCAACGACGGAACUGCGGUUGAUACUGGUUUUCUUGAGUGCACAAGAGGAAGGUGGAAUUUGUGGUGUAGCGGUGAAAUGCUUAGAUAUCACGAAGAACUCCGAUUGCGAAGGCAGCCUCCUGGGGUGUUACUGACGCUCAUGCUCGAAGGUGCGGGUAUCAAACAGGAUUAGAUACCCUGGUA